rnacentral:rRNA from 1 species
AGUGAACGCUGGCGGCAGGCCUAACACAUGCAAGUCGAACGGCAGCACGGCAGUAGCAAUACUGUGGGCGGCGAGUGGCGGACGGGUGAGGAAUACAUCGGGAUCUACCCUGUUGUGGGGGAUAACGUAGGGAAACUUACGCUAAUACCGCAUAAGAACUGAGGUUGAAAGCGGCGGACCGCAAGGCGUCGCGCGAUUGGAUGAACCGAUGUCCGAUUAGCUAGUUGGCGGGGUAAAGGCCCACCAAGGCGACGAUCGGUAGCUGGUCUGAGAGGACGACCAGCCACACUGGAACUGAGACACGGUCCAAGACUCCUACGGAGGCAGCAGU